UCCGAUAUGGUGUAGUGGCUAACAUUAUCGCCUCUCAUUCUUCGAGCGCGAUAGCCCGGGGUUCGAUUCCCCGUGUCGGAA